rnacentral:lncRNA from 1 species
GUACUGUUCACUUAUACGAACAUAUUGAUACGUAAUACAUUCGUAUUAUCACGUUAGAAUCGAAAAACCCGGAAAACCAAGAAAAACCCGGAAAACCAAGAAAAACCCAUAAUCGAAAAAUUCAGAUAACCCAAGAAAGCCAGAAAAUAUAAAUAACACGAAGAAUCGAACCUAUUCAUUUUGGAGGGUUGUGUGCAUGCUCCGAGCCUCUAUCGUGUGAAGAUCCAACUAGUUAUGUAGUGCCUAAACCAAAAUUCGAAUGAACACAAAUAAUAUGAUGAAGAACACGAAGAAUAAGAUGAAAAACAUGAAGAACAUACCAUCGAAAAUCAAACCUAUUAUUUUUGCAAGAUUGUUUGUACUUCUCGUGUAAAGAUUCAAAUUCGUGGUAUUAAUUUCUUCCAAAACAAACCCAAAAUCAAACAUUCAUUCAAACAAAUUUUGAGAGAAAAAUGAAGAGAAAGUAGAGAGAGAAAGGAAAAACAAUUAAAUCUGAAAUGGAGGGAGGAGGAAAUUAUAUUUAUAAUGGGACUGACACGCCUGUACGAUCGUGCAAAUAUAUUUAUUAUCGUUUUUUCUCUCCUUCAUAUCCAUAAGUCAAAUCACAAGUAUUCAUGUGAAUACAUUCGUUAUUACAUUUGACAAUUUUACCCCUCCGAACCCUCUAUAUAGAAAGGUCUGAAAAAGGAUCAACAUCAAAUUUUACUCCCAUAACAUGUAUUCAAUUCU